rnacentral:rRNA from 1 species
UGUUUCGGCUAGGGGGCCAUCCCGGCUUACCAACCCGAUGCAAACUGCGAAUACCGGAGAAUGUUAUCACGGGAGACACACGGCGGGUGCUAACGUCCGUCGUGAAGAGGGAAACAACCCAGACCGCCAGCUAAGGUCCCAAAGUCAUGGUUAAGUGGGAAACGAUGUGGGAAGGCCCAGACAGCCAGGAUGUUGGCUUAGAAGCAGCCAUCAUUUAAAGAAAGCGUAAUAGCUCACUGGUCGAGUCGGCCUGCGCGGAAGAUGUAACGGGGCUAAACCAUGCACCGAAGCUGCGGCAGCGACACUGUGUGUUGUUGGGUAGGGGAGCGUUCUGUAAGCCUGCGAAGGUGUGCUGUGAGGCAUGCUGGAGGUAUCAGAAGUGCGAAUGCUGACAUAAGUAACGAUAAAGCGGGUGAAAAGCCCGCUCGCCGGAAGACCAAGGGUUCCUGUCCAACGUUAAUCGGGGCAGGGUGAGUCGACCCCUAAGGCGAGGCCGAAAGGCGUAGUCGAUGGGAAACGGGUUAAUAUUCCCGUACUUGGUGUUACUGCGAAGGGGGGACGGAGAAGGCUAUGUUGGCCGGGCGACGGUUGUCCCGGUUUAAGCGUGUAGGUGUGUGUUCCAGGUAAAUCCGGUUCACUUUAACACUGAGGCGUGACGACGAGGCACUACGGUGCUGAAGCAACAAAUGCCCUGCUUCCAGGAAAAGCCUCUAAGCAUCAGGUAACAUCAAAUCGUACCCCAAACCGACACAGGUGGUCAGGUAGAGAAUACCAAGGCGCUUGAGAGAACUCGGGUGAAGGAACUAGGCAAAAUGGUGCCGUAACUUCGGGAGAAGGCACGCUGACACGUAGGUGAAGUGAUUUACUCACGGAGCUGAAGUCAGUCGAAGAUACCAGCUGGCUGCAACUGUUUAUUAAAAACACAGCACUGUGCAAACACGAAAGUGGACGUAUACGGUGUGACGCCUGCCCGGUGCCGGAAGGUUAAUUGAUGGGGUCAGCGCAAGCGAAGCUCCUGAUCGAAGCCCCGGUAAACGGCGGCCGUAACUAUAACGGUCCUAAGGUAGCGAAAUUCCUUGUCGGGUAAGUUCCGACCUGCACGAAUGGCGUAAUGAUGGCCAGGCUGUCUCCACCCGAGACUCAGUGAAAUUGAACUCGCUGUGAAGAUGCAGUGUACCCGCGGCAAGACGGAAAGACCCCGUGAACCUUUACUAUAGCUUGACACUGAACAUUGAGCCUUGAUGUGUAGGAUAGGUGGGAGGCUUUGAAGCGUGGACGCCAGUCUGCGUGGAGCCGACCUUGAAAUACCACCCUUUAAUGUUUGAUGUUCUAACGUGGACCCGUGAUCCGGGUUGCGGACAGUGUCUGGUGGGUAGUUUGACUGGGGCGGUCUCCUCCUAAAGAGUAACGGAGGAGCACGAAGGUUGGCUAAUCCUGGUCGGACAUCAGGAGGUUAGUGCAAUGGCAUAAGCCAGCUUGACUGCGAGCGUGACGGCGCGAGCAGGUGCGAAAGCAGGUCAUAGUGAUCCGGUGGUUCUGAAUGGAAGGGCCAUCGCUCAACGGAUAAAAGGUACUCCGGGGAUAACAGGCUGAUACCGCCCAAGAGUUCAUAUCGACGGCGGUGUUUGGCACCUCGAUGUCGGCUCAUCACAUCCUGGGGCUGAAGUAGGUCCCAAGGGUAUGGCUGUUCGCCAUUUAAAGUGGUACGCGAGCUGGGUUUAGAACGUCGUGAGACAGUUCGGUCCCUAUCUGCCGUGGGCGCUGGAGAACUGAGGGGGGCUGCUCCUAGUACGAGAGGACCGGAGUGGACGCAUCACUGGUGUUCGGGUUGUCAUGCCAAUGGCACUGCCCGGUAGCUAAAUGCGGAAGAGAUAAGUGCUGAAAGCAUCUAAGCACGAAACUUGCCCCGAGAUGAGUUCUCCCUGAGACUUUAGGUCUCCUGAAGGAACGUUGAAGACGACGACGUUGAUAGGCCGGGUGUGUAAGCGCAGCGAUGCGUUGAGCUAACCGGUACUAAUGAACCGUGAGGCUUAACCUUACAACGCCGAAG